GGCCGCAGCCCGCAGCAGGCAGCGCGCAGCCCCCAAGGGCGAGGCGGGCGCCGCCAUCUUCCCUCCCUCCCUCCUUCCCGCCCGCCCGGCCGGGGGCGGCGCGGGGCGCGCCGGGAAAUGGAGUCCGCCCGCCUGAGGGGAGCGUGAGGCGCACAGCCUGGGGAUGGUUUUUUAUAUCUAUACACACACCCUAGCGCUUGGAAUAUAAGUUUGUUGGAGAGAAGUGAGGUCUCCGCCCGUUCCAAGGACCCCCGGGGGGGUUUUCCGGCCCAAGGAGCUGAGGGAGUGAAGCGGGCUCCACCUGGGGGCUCCGACACGGGGCAGGAUCGAUGGCCAAGGUGCAUCAAGAAAACAUCCCACUUCUUUUGGCAACAUUUCUUCUAUCAUAACACAGUAUCUACUUCAAUCAAGCACUGAAGAAUCAAAGACCUUAUUAUAUCUUGGAAGUGAACAAUUCUGUCCACUGACCUUCUCUCAUUCUCUUUUUUGCUUUCUCUCUCCAAGUUACUAAAAUAGAUUUUUAAAAAAUUC